rnacentral:lncRNA from 1 species
GGCGCAAUCUCAGCUCACUGCAACCUCUGCCUCCCAGGUUCAAAUGAUUCUCCUGCCUCAGCCUCCCAAGUAGCUGGGAUUACAGGCGCCUGCCACCGCGCCCAGCUAAUUUUUGUAUUUUUAGUAGAGACGGGAUUUCACUAUGUUUCUGAAGAAUAGUUCAUUCAUCUGUUUUGGUUUAGGCAUAGUUUACUCUAAGGGCACGGAGGGAAGGAUGGGAGAAGGAUACAAUGACGCUUCACGGGGUCUUUGAUCUAUAAUUUACGACAGAGCUGUCUGAUGUAUGUAUGCAAAACCCCAUAGCAAAUCAAUGCAUUUUGUAGAGAAGGUUGGAUUUUUCCAGGUGGGCUAGUCCUGCCUCUCUCCCCUGGCUCACCAAUGAGGAGGAUAUGAGGAUAUGACUAACAUGAGGUUCUGCAGUGCCAUGAAGUGAGGAACAAGAUCCUUCUUGGCAGAUGGGUGGCACAAUCUUUUUUUUUUUUUUUCACUCUUUUGCCCAGGCUGAAGUGCAGUGGUGUGAUCAAUCACAGC